UACGGGGGGGGGCAAGCGUUUGUUCGGAAUUAUUGGGCGUAAAGAGCUCGUAGGCGGUUUGUCGCGUCUGCCGUGAAAGUCCGGGGCUCAACUCCGGAUCUGCGGUGGGUACGGGCAGACUAGAGUGAUGUAGGGGAGACUGGAAUUCCUGGUGUAGCGGUGAAAUGCGCAGAUAUCAGGAGGAACACCGAUGGCGAAGGCAGGUCUCUGGGCAUUAACUGACGCUGAGGAGCGAAAGUGUGGGGAGCGAACAGG
rnacentral:rRNA from 1 species